rnacentral:rRNA from 1 species
GACGAACCGUGCGAACGUUGUUCGGAAUCACUGGGCUUAAAGGGCGCGUAGGCGGCUCGCGAGGUCGGGGGUGAAAUCCCACGGCUUAACCGUGGAAGGGCCUUCGAUACCGGCGGGCUGGAGGAAGGUAGGGGUGCGCGGAACUUCUGGUGGAGCGGUGAAAUGCGUUGAUAUCAGAAGGAACGCCGGCGGCGAAAGCGGCGCACUGGACCUUUACUGACGCUGAGGCGCGAAAGCCAGGGGAGCAAACGGG